rnacentral:rRNA from 1 species
UAAGAAGGGGGCUAGUGUUGCUCGGAAUGACUGGGCGUAAAGGGCGCGUAGGCGGACUGUACAGUCAGGCGUGAAAUUCCUGGGCUUAACAUGAGUACUGCGUCUGAGACGUGAGAUCUAGAGUGAGGAAGAGGUUCGUGGAAUUUACAGUGUAGAGGUGAAAUUCGUAGAUAUUAGAAAGAACACCGGUGGCGAAGGCGGCGACCUGGUCCAUGACAGACGCUGCGGCGCGAAAGCGUGGGGAGCAAACAGG